AGGAACUACAGGGAUUGCCUUAGUAACGGCGAGUGAAGCGGCAAAAGCUCAAAUUUGAAAUCUGGCGUCUUCGGCGUCCGAGUUGUAAUUUGAAGAAGGCUACUUUGGAGCUGGAGUUUGUCUAAGUUCCUUGGAACAGGACGUCACAGAGGGUGAGAAUCCCGUGAGAUAAGCUUCCCAGUUCUAUGUAAAGUGCUUUCGAAGAGUCGAGUUGUUUGGGAAUGCAGCUCUAAGUGGGUGGUAAAUUCCAUCUAAAGCUAAAUAUUGGCGAGAGACCGAUAGCGAACAAGUACAGUGAUGGAAAGAUGAAAAGAACUUUGAAAAGAGAGUGAAAAAGUACGUGAAAUUGUUGAAAGGGAAGGGCUUGAGAUCAGACAUGGUAUUUUGUAAACCUUCUCUCUCGUGGAGGGGGCCCCUUGCAGUUUACUGGGCCAGCAUCAGUUUGGGCGGUAGGAUAAUGACUAAGGAAUGUGACUUGCCUUCGGGGAAGUGUUAUAGCCUUGGUUGAUACUGCCAGCCUAGACUGAGGACCGCGUCUGACAAUGAUGUGCA
rnacentral:rRNA from 1 species